rnacentral:rRNA from 1 species
AGAGUUCGAUCCUGGCUCAGGACGAACGCUGGCGGCGUGCCUAACACAUGCAAGUCGAACGGGGCUAGGAAAGCUUGCUUUCCGAAGCCUAGUGGCGGACGGGUGAGUAACGCGUGAGUAACCUGCCUUUCAGAGGGGAAUAACGUUCUGAAAAGAACGCUAAUACCGCAUAACGUACAGUUACCGCAUGGUAGCAGUACCAAAGGAGCAAUCCGCUGAAAGAUGGACUCGCGUCCGAUUAGCUAGUUGGUGGGGUAAAGGCCUACCAAGGCGACGAUCGGUAGCCGGACUGAGAGGUUGAACGGCCACAUUGGGACUGAGACACGGCCCAG